rnacentral:rRNA from 1 species
GAACUAAAGAGUUUGAUCCUGGCUCAGAUUGAACGCUGGCGGCAUGCUUUACACAUGCAAGUCGAACGGUAACAGGUUAAGCUGACGAGUGGCGAACGGGUGAGUAAUGCAUCGGAACGUGCCCAGUCGUGGGGGAUAACGCAGCGAAAGCUGCGCUAAUACCGCAUACGAUCUAAGGAUGAAAGCGGGGGACCGUAAGGCCUCGCGCGAUUGGAGCGGCCGAUGUCAGAUUAGGUAGUUGGUGGGGUAAAGGCUCACCAAGCCGACGAUCUGUAGCUGGUCUGAGAGGACGACCAGCCACACUGGAACUGAGACACGGUCCAGACUCCUACGGGAGGCAGCAGUGGGGAAUUUUGGACAAUGGGCGCAAGCCUGAUCCAGCAAUGCCGCGUGCAGGAAGAAGG